rnacentral:miRNA from 1 species
CACGAUUCUGAUUGAAGCUACUUGUAAGGAAGUUGGGGUAGGUCAAGGAAUGAAGCUGUUGGAUGAAAUGAGGAGUAAAGGCUGUAAACCGGAUGUUGUUACUUAUAAUGUCCUAAUCAAUGGUA